AUUGAACGCUGGCGGCAUGCCUUACACAUGCAAGUCGAACGGCAGCACGGGAGCAAUCCUGGUGGCGAGUGGCGAACGGGUGAGUAAUAUAUCGGAACGUGCCCAGUAGUGGGGGAUAACUGCUCGAAAGAGCAGCUAAUACCGCAUACGACCUGAGGGUGAAAGGGGGGGAUCGCAAGACCUCUCGCUAUUGGAGCGGCCGAUAUCAGAUUAGCUAGUUGGUGGGGUAAAGGCCUACCAAGGCAACGAUCUGUAGUGGGUCUGAGAGGACGACCAGCCACACUGGGACUGAGACACGGCCCAGACUCCUACGGGAGGCAGCGGUGGGGAAUUUUGGACAAUGGGCGCAAGCCUGAUCCAGCAAUGCCGCGUGCAGGAAGAAGGCCUUCGGGUUGUAAACUGCUUUUGUCAGGGAAGAAAUCCUCUAGGUUAAUACCCUUGGGGGGAUGACGGUACCUGAAGAAUAAGCACCGGCUAACUACGUGCCAGCCGCCGCCGUAAUAC
rnacentral:rRNA from 1 species